AGCAUGCUGAAGUAUAGUCUUCUCUUGCUUACUUUUAGUUGCGAUGCAUGAGUUUUGGAUAUCGGGAAAUGUUCAUUGUAGUAAGAUUUUGUUAUGUUUUGAGUUUCUUGGUUUUGCUUACAAGCUUAAAGUUUAUGUCUUGACGCUGGAUCUGGAAUGUGAUUUUCUCAUCGACUUGUCGAAUAAACACUUCUUGUUUGCCUCUGUUUUUGAUUUUGGUGUUGAACAAGCGGAGGUUUGUCGAACUUAGAAUCUAUUUGAGGAUAACUUCUUACUUCAACAUUGGUUGAUUGUACGUUUUCGAUUAUGGCACAUUACUUGCUAACUAUGGUGAUUAAGCCAGCUUGAGCCUAACCGGUCUAGUAUGUUGCAUUUAAACUUUAUAUCUGGGGGUAGGCCUCUUAGUACCAUGAAACCGUGUCUGAGGUGGCUGGCUGGUCACAACAUAUGUGUUGUCAUAGCUCGUGGGAUUGAUUUGCAUAAGAUGGCGUUACAACCGAAAAGUCUCUUUUGCUUGGAUUGGAAGAAAACGUGUAAAGAAGCCAUUUGUUUACACACUCAAAAAAACUUGUAAGAAGAAGAAAACUGUAUAUUAUAUUUGCUUUUAGUGAGAGGUUUCACUUAAAUCUCUGUACAUAUCAAAAUGUAUUUAUAUUUUUUCGGUUCGUUAGUGUAUAUUACGAAGGUGAGUUUCUUUUUUUAAAUAUGUACUGUAAUUGCUAUCAAAUUGUGGUUGUUGUUCUGUAAUAAGUUCCGGCAUGAUUGGUCUCUAUGUUCGUUUUAAUGA